UACAGAGGGGCAAGCGUUGUUCGGAAUUACUGGGCGUAAAGGGCGCGUAGGCGGCCCGCUAAGUCGAACGUGAAAUCCCCGAGCUCAACUCGGGAACUGCGUCCGAUACUGGCGGGCUUGAAUCCGGGAGAGGGAUGCGGAAUUCCAGGUGUAGCGGUGAAAUGCGUAGAUAUCUGGAGGAACACCGGUGGCGAAGGCGGCAUCCUGGACCGGCAUUGACGCUGAGACGCGAAAGCGUGGGGAGCGAACAGG
rnacentral:rRNA from 1 species